GAAUGCUAAAAGAAUGGAAAAUUAAAAAAAAACUUUUUUAAAAAUAAAAAUUGAAUUUUUUUUAAUUUGUGCAAAAACAAUUAUAUUUAUUAAAGACAAGAAGACCCUAAGAAUUUAAGAUUUUACAAUUAAAAAGUUUUUUUUUAAAAUCUUGAUUGGGGCGAUCAAAAAAUAUUAAUAACUUUUUAAAAUUUAAAUUGAUCUAUUAUUAAUAAACUAAUGAAUUAAAUACUCUAGGGAUAACAGCGUAAUAAUUUUUGAUAGAUCUUAUUGACAAAAUAGUUUGCGACCUCGAUGUUGGAUUAGGAUUCUUUUUUAAUGAAGAAGUUAAAAAAAGAAGUUUGUUCAACUUUUAAAUUCCUACUUGAUCUGAGUUCAGACCG
rnacentral:rRNA from 1 species